GACGAACGCUGGCGGCGUGCUUAACACAUGCAAGUCGAACGGAAAGGCCCUGCUUUUGUGGGGUGCUCGAGUGGCGAACGGGUGAGUAACACGUGAGUAACCUGACCUUGACUUUGGGAUAACUUCAGGAAACUGGGGCUAAUACCGGAUAGGAGCUCCUGCUGCAUGGUGGGGGUUGGAAAGUUUCGGCGGGUGGGGAUGGACGCGCGGCUUAUCAGCUUGUUGGUGGGGUAGUGGCUUACCAAGGCUUUGACGGGUAGCCGGCCUGAGAGGGUGACCGGCCACAUUGGGACUGAGAUACGGCCCAGACUCCUACGGGAGGCAGCAGUGGGGAAUAUUGCACAAUGGGCGGAAGCCUGAUGCAGCAACGCCGCGUGCGGGAUGACGGCCUUCGGGUUGUAAACCGCUUUCGCCUGUGACGAAGCGUGAGUGACGGUAAUGGGUAAAGAAGCACCGGCUAACUACGUG
rnacentral:rRNA from 1 species